GUCUACGGUCACGCCACCCCGAACAAGCCCGAUCCCGUCUGAUCUCGGAAGCUAAGCAGGGUCGGGCCUGGUUAGUACUUGGAUGGGAGACCGCCUGGGAAGACCGGACGGGCGUAAAAA
rnacentral:rRNA from 1 species